GGUUAAGACACCAGCCUUUCACGCUGGUAACGUGAGUUCAAAUCUCGCACGGGUCA
rnacentral:tRNA from 1 species